rnacentral:lncRNA from 1 species
CUGCAGCCCUGGGGAACGUGGCCACCAUGAUGUCUUCCCACCAUGAUGACUUCACCCCACCCCUUUCUGGUGACCCCUGCUGUCGCCCUCACAGGUUCCUCAGGUCCUGAGAGGCGGAGGUGGGCCAGCAGAAGGUGAGCUUGGGAAGGCAGCCCGGGUUCGGUCCAAAUCCUUCCGGCUCUUCAACUUGGCGGGUUAGUUAACAUUCAGAAGCCUUCAUCCCCCGUCCGCAAAAUGGGCAUGAACGACUCAGAAUGCUGCCUUGAAGAAAGGAUCUACCCAGCAUGCUGUCUUCUCCAAGAGACACACAUCCUGGGAAGGAACAGAGGAGCCUUUCGGGGGAAAUGGAAUGUUCUGUAUCUCAGUCUGGGUGGUGACUACAUGAAAAACGCCCAUCUGCACAACAUUCUUUCAGCUCUGUACUUAAGAUGUAUGCGCUUCAUCCACUGUACUAUAGGUACGUUACUAUACUUCAACUAAACAACUAAAAGAAAAAUAGGAUGUGGAGAAGCUGUAAAAAUGAACAGGCUGCAUGCAAACACCUAAAACAAUUAGUGCAGACUCUCAAACAGUAGAAAUUACCUCCAGCUUCUCAUGAAGAAAUGAGAGAAAUCCUACCGCUAAUCAGAGGGCCUUUGGAAGCUUUGCUCCCACUUUUAUUUCUGAUUUUCAUGGCUUUGGCUUUUGACCUUAAAUGAAAGCCAGUGGCAAGGUUAGCAGCAAAGGGAGGUAAGCUCAUUACUUUCUGACAGUCUGUUUCAAUUAGACAUUGAAGACAAUUUCUCCCCAUACUUGAGUAAUCCCCACCAAAUCCAAAUUACUUCAAGAAGGGCUGUUGGAGUCACAGCCUACAGGAGUUCUGAUGAGUUCAGAAUUGGAAAUCAUUAGGUCCCUCUAACCGCUACUUAAGCAUUUACUGUUAGAAAUCCUUUGCCCCAGACACAAAUGGUAGGUUAUAAAUUAUUUAUGGACCCAAUUAGGGACAUAAUUGGAGUGAUCUGGCUGUUUGCCAUAGCACUAAUGCAUCUAAAGUUUUUCAUCUUUCAGUUAAACUUUUUUCUGCUUUCUGUUACACUUUGAUAUCCGAAUCUGCUCUCCAGAGGUCUGCAAAAAAUAUAAAAAUAAAAUAAGGAAAAGUGUUCACGAGUCUUUUAUAAAUGUAUAUAAAGUUGAGCUCCAGUGAAGAGUCAUUGAAUAUCACCAAGUUAAUCCUGCUUGUGCUUCAUUAUAUUCCCACAAGUAUUAGCAAAAAGCACUAACCUCAAAUCACUUAUAAAGAAAUGAUUUUGGUGUGUUUAUGCAGCCUCCUUCCUCCUUCAGUGCCAUUUCAUGGCAUUUCAUAUUCCUCCUCUCUGUAUUCAUGGGUUGUGUGUGAUGUCUUCUUGUUGCUAAGAUUUGUAUGAUACCCCAGACAUCUUACAGUUACAUUUUUUUUAACGGAGUCUCACUUUGUUGCUCAGGCUGGAGUCCAGUGGCGUGAUCUCGGCUCACCACAACCUCUGCUUCCCAGGUUCAAGCAAUUCUCCUGCCUCAGACACCCGAGCAGUUGGGAUUACUGGCGUCUGCCACGAUGCCCAGCUAAUUUUUGUAUUUUUAGUAGAGAUAGGGUUUCACCAUGUUGGCCAGGCUGGUCUUGAACUCCUGACCUCAGGUGAUCCACUCGCCUCAGCCUCCCAAAGAGCUGGGAUUACAGACAUGAGCCACCGUGCCCAGCCUGACAUUUCUUUAUUUAAAUGAGCUCAGUUAGGUGUUGGUUUCUUGCAUUAGACUGUUUCUAAAACACAAAGUGAGAUUAGUUAAUCUCUUCAAAAUAAAUGUGCCUACUUUUCCUAAUUUGGUCCUGCCCCAGUAAAAACCCAAGCUCCUUAAUCUUUUAAUGCCCAGUUCCACACAAUGAUACUGUAAAAUACAUAUUUGGUCUGCAUACAGCUCCUAAAAUCCUUCAGAUCUCCCCAAAGUGAUGGCUUUUGUAUGCUAAUGAUUGACUGGUGGCUGGCAGCCCUACACAGAGGUUGGGGGCUGGUCACCGGGAAAUCCAAAGCAGGAUUAGAGAGUUUGGAUUUUCAGCUGUAUGGGAAUCCCAGACCUCCAGGGAGGGAAGAGGCGCUGAAGAUUAAAUAGGUUCAAUUGAUCACCAAUGGCCAGUGGUUUAAUCAAUCAUGACUAUGUAAUGAAUCUUCCAUUAAAACCAUAAAGGACUUGGUUCAGGGAGCUUCCAGAUAGCUGAACACAUGGACAUUCCUGGUGGGGUCCCAGGAACUCCAUCUAGAAGGCUUGGAAGCCCUGUACCCCUCCUAUUACCCUCCCUAUGCCUCUAUUCAUCUGUAUCUUAACAAACUGGUAUUUCCCUGAGUUCUGUGAGCUGCUCUAGCAAAUGAAUUGAACCCAAGGAGAGGGCAGGGGUGGUGAAAACCAUGACUUAUAGCCAGUCCAUCAGAAGCACAGGUAAAACAACCUAGGGCUUGCUAUUGGCAUCGGAAGUGGAAAGCACUCUUGUAGAAUUGAGCCCUCAACCUGUGGGAUCUGAUGCUAUUUCCAGGUAGAUGGUGUUAGAAUGGAAUCAGAGGACACUCAGCUAGUAUCCACUGCAGAAUUGGUUGCUUAAUAGAUGGGAGAAAGAAUCCACACAUUUGGUCACAGAAGUCUUCUGUGUUGAUUGUUGAGUGAGAGAAUCGAAAAGCACUUUGGGUUCAUUUUUCCACUUAGACACCCUCAAUGGCUACCAGGCCGACCUCAGCCACUGAGACACGAACCCACUCAGUGGCGUCCCAGUCCAUAUGGAUUUCCAUGGUUAUUUCUUGGCCACAUCUUUGCUUGGACCUCUCUUUCCCAGGAAUUCCCUGUAAUCCCAGUUGCCUGCCCGGUUGGCCCCACUGCAGGGUCUGAAUUCACUAGGAAUGACUAUGACUAUGGUAUUGGCCUGGGAAAAGUCUGUUGGCCUCUCAAACAACUCUCCACGAAAGGGUCAUUUCCUUGCUGUGGCGCUAAUACUGCCACUUCAGAAAUUUGAUCUUCUUAUUGUCCCGGAGGUGACGGGACUUGGGAAUGGGACUCACAUUUACUAGGAUUACUGGGGCUGACCUCUCAGGGCAGAAUGCCACUGCAUUCAUUUGUUCUCUGUAGCCGAGCUGUAUGGGAAGUCCAAAUGCCUCCUGAGGAGCUUGGGCCAAAAGCAAGAAGUUUGAUCUGGGUAACAGGAAGGCUUCCUGACACCAGGCUGGGACGGCCCCUGCAGCCAUCCCUAGCAGAGGAUCUGGGUGAUGGGCUGCACAGAUCUUUCAUGGAUACCCUUGUCUCUGGGGUUCUGCUUUUUCCACAAUCCCUCUUUAUUUGACUGAGUCUAUCCAGGCUGGCUAACACACUCUUUAGAAGCAUUAAUAACAUGGAAGAUGCUGUGCUUUGCUGCCGAGAUCCACCUGCAGAACGGAGGCACUCAGUUAUCCAGGUGCUGAGUCCCUCCCAGGGAAGCUACUUCCCUAGGACAUCUAACAUCCAAUGACUAGUGGAUGCAGAGGUAUAAAAGCCCACCCCUCAGCUGGCUGCGGUAGCUCAUGCCUAUAAUCCCAGCACUUUGGGAGGCCAAGGCAAGCGGAUCACCUGAGGUUGGGAGUUUGAGAUCAGCCUGACCAACAUGGAGAAAACCCAUCUCUACUAAAAAUAUAAAAUUACCUGGGCAUGGUGGUGCAUGCCUGUAAUCUCAGCUACUCAGGAAUCCGAGGAAGGAAAAUCACUUGAACCCAGGAGGUGGAGGUAGCAGUGAGCUGAGAUCCUGCCAUUGCAGUCCAGGCUGGGCAACAAGAGGGAAACUCCGUCUUGAAAGAAAAGAAAAAAAUCUUACCCCUCUCACCCCAACUCACUGUCUAUUGGAACUGUCAUUCCCUCCUUUUCAUACUCUUGGGAGCACCUCUUGUCUGUAUUCCAAACUCUCCAACUUACUACUUUUGUGAACUUUGGAAGGUUACUUAACUUCUCUGUGCUUCUGAUUUCCCAUCUAUAAUAUGAAAUUCAAAAGAACGUUUCUAUGCAGACACUGUGAGUUUUGAAUGAGAUAGUAAUUAGGAACACAUACUACCACAUACGUGGUAGGCAGUGAAUCUGUUUGCCAAAUUAAGUGAACCAUUAA